ACUGUCAGAAGUCGCAGUUAAUUGCAUUAAUACUGACGUAUUGGACAGUGAUAACACUAAUAACCUGUUUUGCUAAUAAUUAAUUUUAUUAAAAAAAUCAUGAAGACAUCUAUUUUGUUAAUUUUCAUUUGUUUUGUUGCAAGUGCAUAUUCUUUGCCGACCAUAGAAACCGAUGACCUCCAGAAUUAUCAAGAUCCGCAAGACCAUUCAUUUGAUUAUGAAAAUGGUGUGCAAGAAAUGUUGGCUAUGAACAUUGUACCAUGCUCGACAGGAAGGACUAGGGCUCCUUGGGGAAAAUGCAUACCAUGUGGAAGAUACUAUAACUUAUUCCACAAAAAAGGAAAGGGCUGUCCACUGUCCUAACUACAAAAAUCUGUCAUUUCUAAACAGGUCGACCACAACGAAUAAACGAAUAAAUUUAAUCAAAAAAAUAACGCGUGAAUAAAAGAGAAGAGAUUUUUGCUAACCCCUUUUUGUCGUAUCCGAUUAUGUAUCUAAACCACUUAUGAACUCUUAUAAUCAAAGCUAUAAGUUCACAAUAAAAUGUACCAAUUAAAAACUUUUUUAAAUACGCUGUUA